rnacentral:rRNA from 1 species
UAGUCCACGCCGUAAACGAUGAUCACUCGUUGUAUACCACUUGAGGUAUGUGACUGAGCGAAAGCAUUAAGUGAUCCACCUGGGGAGUACGUUCGCAAGAAUGAAACUCAAAGGAAUUGACGGGGGCCCGCACAAGCGGAGGAACAUGUGGUUUAAUUCGAUGAUACGCGAGGAACCUUACCUGGGCUUAAAUGAAUGCUGCAUAGAUUGGAAACGGUCUUUUCUUCGGACUGCGUUCAAGGUGCUGCAUGGCUGUCGUCAGCUCGUGCCGUGAGGUGUCGGGUUAAGUCCCAUAACGAGCGCAACCCCUAUCCUUAGUUGCCAUCGGGUCAUGCCGGGGACUCUAAGGAGACUGCCACCGUAAGGUGAGAGGAAGGUGGGGAUGACGUCAAGUCAGCACGGCCCUUAUGUCCAGGGCUACACACGUGUUACAAUGGUCGGUACAAAGGGCAGCUACCUGGCAACAGGAUGCUAAUCUCGAAAGCCGAUCCCAGUUCGGAUC